rnacentral:miRNA from 1 species
GCUGCAUCACGUGUGACCUCC